CUUAAAUUAGAAAUGCAUGCACUUUAAAUUCAAUAGGAAUUCUCACUUUAGUGGUACAUGUGCAUGAAAGUAAAUACUCAUAAAUACUUAACGCUUAUUGAACGUAGGCAUUUGUUUAUUAGAAGAGAAGAAUGGUACUCUAGGUUACAUAAUAUUUAGGCAUGAAGAAAUAUGGAAUAUAAAUAUAAAAUGAGACACAUGACUGGGCAGUUAACGUAACUGGUUACACAUUAUAUAGGAAGGAUAGAAAAAU